CUAAACUAAUAAUCAACUAAUUAAGCCCCCUAAACUAAUAAUGAACUAAUCAAAAAAUUAAAAAUCAAUCAGUAAUAUAAGCAGUUUCAAAAAAAAAAAAUUCAGUUUUUACUUCUCCUUCUUCAAACUCUUUGGGAGUGAAAUAAUGCUAUGUUGAACAACUUCAACAUCACAACACAACCACAGAUCCUCCAGCCGCUGCCCACCACGUCCGCGACGCACCCCUGUGCACCGCUCCUCCGGCCGCCGGCCGCUUGCCUUAUUCGCGAGCCCAACGCGCCUCUGGUAACCACAGCGCCGCCACUGGUCCUUGCUUGUAUCCACCCCGCGCUCGACCCCAAGCGUCGCCACUCCUCACUCUGGCAUCGCCGCCCUUGGUCGCCCUUCUUGCAGCAACCGCGCCUCCGUCCUUGUCUGGCGUCACUCAGAUCUGGAUUCAACAGUGAAACCGCCACUAGGAACAACAACAAUAGCAGUAUGGGUCUGGUCUUUUGCAUCCUGGGGAUCAGAUUAUGGGUGAGGUUGGGGGUGGUGGGUUAGGUUGGAGGCGGUGGCUGUGGGUGUUGAAGAUGAGGUUGGGGAUCGAACACUGCCCCAAUUCCAUUGCUUCUUCUCUCCUCCGUCCAAAUUGUUCAAUUCUUUUGCAGCAAAUUCAUAUCAGAAUCUCUGGUUGUGGCUUAAUUUGCUGCUGAAGUGGGAAUUUGGAUAAAGGCCGUGGAGUGUUAUCUUGAUGAAAUUGAAGAAGUGUUGUUUGUCUAUUUAAAGACUAAGUCUUAUCACCCUGUCUUAAUUCUUUGUGUUGCGAAUGGGUCCUGUGUUUGUAAUUGCUUGAAGGUUGUAGUUUUUGUAUUUUGAAACAGUGUUUAUCCAAGUGUGGGAACCAGCUCUUGUAGUUUUCCUUUUC